rnacentral:rRNA from 1 species
ACGAACGCUGGCGGCGUGGAUAAGACAUGCAAGUCGAACGAGAGAAUUGCUAGCUUGCUAAUAAUUCUCUAGUGGCGCACGGGUGAGUAACACGUGAGUAACCUGCCCCCGAGAGCGGGAUAGCCCUGGGAAACUGGGAUUAAUACCGCAUAGUAUCGAAAGAUUAAAGCAGCAAUGCGCUUGGGGAUGGGCUCGCGGCCUAUUAGUUAGUUGGUGAGGUAACGGCUCACCAAGGCGAUGACGGGUAGCCGGUCUGAGAGGAUGUCCGGCCACACUGGAACUGAGACACGGUCCAGACACCUACGGGUGGCAGCAGUCGGGAAUCAUUCACAAUGGGGGAAACCCUGAUGGUGCGACGCCGCGUGGGGGAAUGAAGGUCUUCGGAUUGUAAACCCCUGUCAUGUGGGAGCAAAUUAAAAAGAUAGUACCACAAGAGGAAGAGACGGCUAACUCUGUGCCAGCAGCCGCGGUAAUACAGAGGUCUCAAGCGUUGUUCGGAAUCACUGGGCGUAAAGCGUGCGUAGGCUGUUUCGUAAGUCGUGUGUGAAAGGCGCGGGCUCAACCCGCGGACGGCACAUGAUACUGCGAGACUAGAGUAAUGGAGGGGGAACCGGAAUUCUCGGUGUAGCAGUGAAAUGCGUAGAUAUCGAGAGGAACACUCGUGGCGAAGGCGGGUUCCUGGACAUUAACUGACGCUGAGGCACGAAGGCCAGGGGAGCGAAAGGGAUUAGAUACCCCUGUAGUCCUGGCAGUAAACGGUGCACGCUUGGUGUGCGGGGAAUCGACCCCCUGCGUGCCGGAGCUAACGCGUUAAGCGUGCCGCCUGGGGAGUACGGUCGCAAGAUUAAAACUCAAAGAAAUUGACGGGGACCCGCACAAGCGGUGUAGUAUGUGGCUUAAUUCGAUGCAACGCGAAGAACCUUACCUGGGCUUGACAUGUAAUGAACAACAUGUGAAAGCAUGCGACUCUUCGGAGGCGUUACACAGGUGCUGCAUGGCCGUCGUCAGCUCGUGUCGUGAGAUGUUUGGUUAAGUCCAGCAACGAGCGCAACCCCUGUUGCCAGUUACCAGCACGUGAAGGUGGGGACUCUGGCGAGACUGCCCAGAUCAACUGGGAGGAAGGUGGGGACGACGUCAGGUCAGUAUGGCCCUUAUGCCCAGGGCUGCACACGUACUACAAUGCCCAGUACAGAGGGGGCCGAAGCCGCGAGGCGGAGGAAAUCCUAAAAACUGGGCCCAGUUCGGACUGUAGGCUGCAACCCGCCUACACGAAGCCGGAAUCGCUAGUAAUGGCGCAUCAGCUACGGCGCCGUGAAUACGUUCCCGGGUCUUGUACACACCGCCCGUCACAUCAUGGAAGCCGGUCGCACCCGAAGUAUCUGAAGCCAACCGCAAGGAGGCAGGGUCCUAAGGUGAGACUGGUAACUGGGAUG